UCUUAACUCCUAUGAUGGUUUUUGUUUAUGGCUUUGGAUUCUUGUCAUUGGAUAAUAGGUUUUGACUAUGGCUUCUAGAUCUUGAUUUUUUUUUUUAAUUAUUAUUAUUGUUUCAGUUCCUGGCUCCUGCAUUAUGUUUUUUUGGCUCUUUUUUGGUUCUGAAUGUGUUUCCUGAUGUGUGACCUGACCCUGUUUGAGAGUGCGAGUGAGCAUCAAAGGAGUUCUGGCCUAGAACAUGGAUUGUCCUGAAUGGAGACAGAAAGCAGGGGCAGAAACACUGCAUCAUAGAAGCUACUGCACAAGAGCAAGAGGAACAAACUAAUGUAUUUUCCAUGUCCAAGCUGAGUGAAAUUUGAAAAAUAAACAAACAGCACAGAUGGAGAAACAGUUGAAAGUGUGAAUACUCUUCCAGUGAUAAUCAUUUCCAGUGUUUAUAAAAACAUAGUAGUGACAUAUAGUAAAAAUAUGUUAUUUUAGCAUAUAUAAGUCUGUUUAGACAGAUAAGUAAUGCAUCAUUUUCAAUUAAGCAGUAGUUUAAAAUAUUUUUAGAACAAAACCUUUUGAUUUAAUUCCUAUUUCCAUAUGCAAAUAUGGAAAAAUUGCUGAAAGAUUUAGCAUUUGAGCAGUCUGCUUCUGUUGAUUUUUGGAUAAUGUAUCUGAACAUUUUAUAGGUUGUAAUUGUAUUGUUUUUAUUGAUUUGCAAAGCCCCGAAAUGUAAGCACAGACCAGUAA